GCUGACGAGUGGCGGACGGGUGAGUAAUGUCUGGGAAACUGCCUGAUGGAGGGGGAUAACUACUGGAAACGGUGGCUAAUACCGCAUAACGUCGCAAGACCAAAGAGGGGGACCUUCGGGCCUCUUGCCAUCAGAUGUGCCCAGAUGGGAUUAGCUUGUUGGUGAGGUAACGGCUCACCAAGGCGACGAUCCCUAGCUGGUCUGAGAGGAUGACCAGCCACACUGGAACUGAGACACGGUCCAGACUCCUACGGGAGGCAGCAGUGGGGAAUAUUGCACAAUGGGCGCAAGCCUGAUGCAGCCAUGCCGCGUGUAUGAAGAAGGCCUUCGGGUUGUAAAGUACUUUCAGCGGGGAGGAAGGUGUUGUGGUUAAUAACCGCAGCAAUUGACGUUACCCGCAGAAGAAGCACCGGCUAACUCCGUGCCAGCAGCCGCGGUAAUACGGAGGGUGCAAGCGUUAAUCGGAAUUACUGGGCGUAAAGCGCACGCAGGCGGUCUGUCAAGUCGGAUGUGAAAUCCCCGGGCUCAACCUGGGAACUGCAUUCGAAACUGGCAGGCUUGAGUCUUGUAGAGGGGGGUAGAAUUCCAGGUGUAGCGGUGAAAUGCGUAGAGAUCUGGAGGAAUACCGGUGGCGAAGGCGGCCCCCUGGACAAAGACUGACGCUCAGGUGCGAAAGCGUGGGGAGCAAACAGGAUUAGAUACCCUGGUAGUCCACGCCGUAAACGAUGUCUACUUGGAGGUUGUGCCCUUGAGGCGUGGCUUCCGGAGCUAACGCGUUAAGUAGACCGCCUGGGGAGUACGGCCGCAAGGUUAAAACUCAAAUGAAUUGACGGGGGCCCGCACAAGCGGUGGAGCAUGUGGUUUAAUUCGAUGCAACGCGAAGAACCUUACCUGGUCUUGACAUCCACGGAAGUUUUCAGAGAUGAGAAUGUGCCUUCGGGAACCGUGAGACAGGUGCUGCAUGGCUGUCGUCAGCUCGUGUUGUGAAAUGUUGGGUUAAGUCCCGCAACGAGCGCAACCCUUAUCCUUUGUUGCCAGCGGUCCGGCCGGGAACUCAAAGGAGACUGCCAGUGAUAAACUGGAGGAAGGUGGGGAUGACGUCAAGUCAUCAUGGCCCUUACGACCAGGGCUACACACGUGCUACAAUGGCGCAUACAAAGAGAAGCGACCUCGCGAGAGCAAGCGGACCUCAUAAAGUGCGUCGUAGUCCGGAUUGGAGUCUGCAACUCGACUCCAUGAAGUCGGAAUCGCUAGUAAUCGUGGAUCAGAAUGCCACGGUGAAUACGUUCCCGGGCCUUGUACACACCGCCCGUCACACCAUGGGAGUGGGUUGCAAAAGAAGUAGGUAGCUUAACCUUCGGGAGGGCGCUUACCACUUUGUGAUUCAUGACUGGGGUGAAGUCGUAACAAGGUAACCGUAGGGGAACCUGCGGUUGGAUCACCUCCUUACCUUAAAGAAGC
rnacentral:rRNA from 3 species